AAAUAAUCACUUAUUAAAGUAUGUUUAAUGUAUUAGAUCAACACUGGAUGGUUAUAUAUAAGUAUUCCACUGUGUGAUGAACACUUAUUGGUGCUGCUUUGAUCAUAUGAACUUGCACUUUUACCCUAAUAAAACCCUUAACAAAGUGCUAAACAACUUAAUCUGCACUUUAUGCAGGAACUGCUUCUAAGUAAUAGUAUAUGCACCCUAUCUACAUCAAUUGUCGUAAUCGAAAUUGAAUCACUUCAACAAAUAAGUGUGAUUUAUUCAUUGUUGAGCCAAAACUUACCAGGUUUUACAAACAGUGACUGAUCCCGAAAGGCCUUUUUUUAAGAGGCUUAACAGAAAGCAAAAAUAAGUUAUCUGAGCAGACACGAGCAUUAAAGCAAUUCCAGAGAUUUAGAAAUAAAAACAGAAAAUCUCCAACUGGUCGGGUAGCAUAUGUAGAUAUAAAGGUUCAGAGGGUUGAUCUUUGAUCAACAGCAGUUCUGACAGAAAUCAAUUCGGGUUCUUGAUAUGUGUUAUUUAUUUAUUAUUAUUAUUUUGGGUGCUUUUUCGUUUCUUUUUGUAUUUGCGCAGUUGUAUUUUGCACAUUAGUUGUUUGUCGGUCUUUGUUAUCUACAAUUUUUGAUUGAUUCCACUGUUUUUCUUUAUAUUUGCUGUGAAUGCCCGCAAGAAAAUGAACCCCAGGGUAGCAUAUAGUGACACAUGUGUACUUUUAUAAUAAAUUUACUUUGAACUGGAAACUUUGUAGUUUUUUAAAAUUUUCUUUUCAGCAAUAUUAGGUCGCGGAGAUGGUAGUACAACAACGUUGAAGCUGAAUUCUUAGAAAUGGCAUGGGUAUUCGUACUCAAAACACUAGCUGAUAUUUCUCAAGAGCCACGAAUUGCAAGCGUACUCGUUUCUAUCUUCAUUUUUCAUCUUUUAUCGAGGGUCGGAGAAGUGGUAAUGCAGUCGGCAUAAGGGCGGCAGCGAUCGAAAUAGUAAUCGAAGCGGGAAAGUGGGAAAAUGAAAAUGGUCUAGAAUUAUUUUUGAAAACAUCCCAUUUGAUGUUCGUCAUUGUAAUGCACUGAAUAUGUAGACUGGCUUUACAAGUUAUCACCAGCUCGAUGUAGAUUGUUCAAAUUGUCCUCUAAAUUCAUAGAUUUGUAUUUCUUUAUUUUAUAAGUCUCCGUUAUUUUACAAAUAUCUUACACUCCAGACUAUAACAGGCAGAAUGUUGGGCAUGAUCUGACUGUGUUUAAACGGAUCGUUGUUUAGCCAUCAGAGAUAAUCCGCAAGCGGAUCGCGUCACGGGAAAACAAGAGUACGUGUGCCAGAAAUCCCAAAGUUACUAUGUAACCAUGUGAGCAACAACACGCUGUGACAUUUCUGUCGGGGGUUGUUCAAAUAAAAUCCAAAGGAAUUGCAAACUGCCAAGCGUGGUACGGCGCCGCAAAUACAUCCAACCGGUAUGUUCUGAAGACUUAGCGAUAAAACUCCUCCCUGGAAGACUAAAGGGAAUGCCGGAAUCCCUGGUCCCGGCUGACAGGAUCCUAGCUGCUACGGUGGAGGGAGGAUCGGGAGCAAGUAAGAGCUGCGUUCCUCCCGCUCCCAUCUCAGUUUGAUCAUCCAUCGUGACAGAUGGAAACACAUAGCACAAGGCGCAGUUCAGCUAGACUUUUCAGGGACGAGGAUACACGAUACGCCGGAGAUAAAACUGCAAUAAUCUCGAAUUGCAUUGUAUCAGUCUGACACUUAUGACACCAACAGCCUGGUUUCACACUGCAGUUAUUGCACGCAGAUCACGGCGAGAAUGCUGUCACAGUUUACUUUUGCAUCCCGGUCAGAUCAAGAGUCACUUACCGGAUAAUCAAAUGAUCCGCACAACCCACCACAGAGCCCUUCAUGACCGAGAGUGUGUCUGGAUCCAGGCGAAUAUUCCGCAGUGAAGUUACUCGCCGUUCAAAGAUGAAGCGGAUCCCAUGUCGCCACUGAGUUUUCCCAGCAGAUCUCACUCUGACCGCUUGAAUGCAAUAUGAAUACUAAUAUCUGCGCUACACACGGAUGUGGUAUUGGCGAAUCCAUUGGAAACAGCUUUCUUCACCCCUCUUAACAACGAUCAGUUCUAAGACAAUAACUCCUAUGAGUCAAAAACUAUUCAUUGAAUGUGAAAUGUUGGAUACUUUGAAGCAUGUAAUAAAGGCACAUUUCAGUUUUAACUUUCUCGAAUUGUGAAGCUGAAGAAGGUAGACAUGUCAAGUGAUUCAGAAGUAAUAAUGGUGCAUAGUUCCCUGAAGGCGGAAUCUCAUGUGGAUAGGGUGGUGAAGAAAGCUUUUGCACAAAUGGUGGGGCUGAGACCUGUAUUCAUCGUGGCUAUCCGUCGAGGUUGAGGAUGAUGGUCUUCGUUCCGUAGAUCACUUGAAGAUGUGGCCUACAGAGGGAAGACGCCUGUAUGCAUAUUUGUUUAAUGUGUACUUGAUAUUGCACUCCAAGAAGCACACGAUACUUCACAAAUCAACCAACUGAUCCCAAUGGCAUGGAAACCACGACGAUUGGAGCUGAUGGAUUUGUUGCAGCCUUCAUCCACCUUCACAGCCGUUGAGUUCGAAGUAACUUUGUCCACCUGUUCCACUGUUGAGGUCUUGGUUGGAUUGUUCUUUGUCAGGGACCUCACCCUUGACCUUACCGCCAUGGGUGACCCUAUCAGGAGCGUAGCUCCAGACAGCAUCGCUCUUGGGAUCUCAGGACCACACAAUCCAUAGGAAUAAGUCUCCUAGAGUUAUUGAUGGUGCAUCAAGCAGCCCUAUCUUCAUUUCAAGGAUGUCUGCAAGAGAGACAUGAAGUCACUGAACAUGAACGUCGAGAGGUGGGAGGACAUUGCAAGCGAUUGCUCUCACUGGAGGCUGGAACUACGCAGAGGUCUGAAAAGAGGAGAAGAGAAGCUGUGGCUUGCUGCUGAGGAAAAGCGCACUCACCGACAAAACAGCACCAAGACAACACCGGAGGACAGUGUCUUCAAGUGCAGUUGCUGCAGCCGAGACUGUCAUUCCCAUGUGGGCCUGAACAGACAGACACUGCUAUACCAACACAGACUGAAGCAAGACUUUCUAGGUGCACAAAAGACUAAUAGAUGCCAUCAAUCAAUAACAAAUAUACAAAUAAAUAACUGUGUGUUUAAAAACUGCAUAUCACCUUUUAGUUUAUAGUACCUGUUUUGAAUUUCAGUACCUGAAGUACAGUUCUGAUGAAAGGUCAAUAACCUGAAAUGUUGACUCUAUUUUUCUUUCUAUAGAUACUGCCCAACCUGGUGACUAUUUCGGGCAGUUUUGAUUUUAGUUCCUGAAAUAUGAUUUACUUGGCCUUAUUCAAUAUUAGUGAGAUAUUUUCUGCAACAUAUUUCAUAUCUGUUGGCACAAAUAUACAUAUAAAAACUGUAAAUCCUAAGGUAGAUCUUUAAUAUUUUUCCACUUAAACUUAUUUAAAAACUUACAAGCAGAUGCUCUGGUACUUAUAGAUCUAAGCCGUGAUUUAUGGGAGCAUAUGGAUGACUGUAAAAUAUUUGAUUGAAUCUUUAUUGUCUCCUUACGGCUCAAUACAUUGACAAGGGCAUCAGAACAAUGCUAAUAGAUAGGUAGACCGAUGCAAACUGACUUACAAUAAUUUAUAUCACAUGUUUGGUCAAAUGAAGUCUAAAGCAUUCUGUCUGUUCAAAUCAUUCAUCUGAAAAUAUGAUGUACCUCAGUCAUCUCAGAAAAUAAGUUACAGACGGGCCUUAUCAGAUGGAAAGGAAUGUACUGACGUCUGGGAAUUCUAGUAAUUUUUAACUUUUAAAUAAUUUGUGUAACAAAAGCUUGUCAGUUUAAUGUAAAUUUAUAACGUGAAGUAAGUUCCUGUAAAUCGUUCCAUAGUGGGUUUAUUCACAGCUCUGCUGCAGAAACUUCCUUGUUCAUUUUGACGUCAUGCACUCAUCCCAGUUUCUAUUUACUUUAGUCUUUCCUGAAACUAAGGACGACAUAUUGCUGAUUGGCUCACUUCCUUCACAGCAAGCGUUCCCUGUAACAGACAGAGAUGAACAAUGGUUAAAACCCUUGAUAGAUUAAAACAGUUCAGUAUAACA